rnacentral:rRNA from 1 species
UAAGACGAACCGCCCGAACGUUAUUCGGAAUCACUGGGCUUAAAGGGAGCGUAGGCGGGCUGCCAAGUCCGGGGUGAAAUCCUCCAGCUUAACUGGAGAACUGCCUCGGAUACUGGAAGUCUCGAGGAGGGUAGGGGCAAGUGGAACCGUGGGUGGAGCGGUGAAAUGCGUUGAUAUCCAUGGGAACUCCGGUGGCGAAGGCGACUUGCUGGACCCUUUCUGACGCUGAGGCUCGAAAGCCAGGGGAGCAAACGGGAUUAGAUACCCCGGUAGUCCUGGCCCUAAACGUUGAGAACUAGGUUGUCGGCUUACAUGGGCUGACAGCCGAAGCAAAAGUGCUAAGUUCUCCGCCUGGGGAGUAUGGUCGCAAGGCUG